CACUUCUGAUGCAAUUGUCAUGGACUGGAGACCAGCCUCCAUACAGGACCUGCAGGCACAUUUUGUUAUGCCCUGCACAGCGAAAUACAAAUCCAAUAAAAGUAAAUGCGCAAGUCUGAGGGGAACAGCUUGAAGAUCUUAUAUACCACCCCACCACAGUGUUUCUAAAGGUUAGGCAAUGUCGCUGAAAAUAGAGAAGAGGAAAGGUACAUCCAGAAAGUGGAAUAAUAACCCUCCAAAGACAUCCACGUUCUAAUCCCCGGGAUCUGUGAAGACGUUACCUGAUGGAGCGAAAGCAACUUUGCAGAUGUGAUUAAAUUAAGGGCCUUGAGGUGGUGAGAUUAUCCUGUAUUAUCUGGAUGGGCCCAAUCCAAUCACACUGUUCUUUUCAUCAGAGAACCUUUCUUGGCCGAGUUCAUAGUCAGAGGGAGAUGUGACUACAGAAGAAUGGUUGGACACGUGCAACACUGUGGGCUUUACAGAGGAAGGAAGGGGACAUGAGCCAAGGAACUCUGGCAGCCCCUAGAAGCUAAAAAAGCUGGAACAUCUAAGGAUGGUCUCUCUGUGCGGCCUGGGCUUCUUCAUCACAUGGUGCCUGGGUCCAAGAAACAGGAAGUGGAAGCUGCCAGGUUCUGAAGACCUGGGCCUGGAGACUGGCACUGCUCACUUCCACUAUAUUUCAUUAGCCAAGUAAGCACAGAACCCAGAUUCAAGGAGAGGGGACAUAGACUCCACUUCUCAAUGAGAAGAGUAUCACAGAACUUGGGGGCCAUAUUUUAAAACCACCAAAGCUCGGAACUCCUCUUCUUCCUUAUCAAUGCCUACUUUUCAAGGAAAGAUUUUUUUUUUUUACAAAACCUUUAUAAAGACAGUCUUUACAUCUUGCAUGCCUUUGCUAUUCUAUAACUAUAAAGUACCCCACUACAUGUCAAACACUGUGUAGACUGUUACUCUUUCAAGCAAUGACAUAAAGGAGGAAAUAGAGAAAUGCAA